rnacentral:lncRNA from 1 species
ACAUUGUGAAUGACUUAUUCUCUAACUAAAUUACAAGCUCUAUUUAUAGAGCAAUAAACCAAAGAAACCCUAAUGCGUAUAUGCCAAAAAUACCCUACUACAAAAUCAAAUCAAAUCUCUAAUUAAUUUCCUAAAUAAACCUAAUAAAUUCCAACACCCCCCGUCAAACUCAUGGCGGUACACGACAUGAGUUUGCCAACAAGCAGAUGUGGAUGCAAGCCUCCAAAUUCCGAUGCCGAUGCCGAUGCCGAUUUCCGAUGCCAAUUUCAAUACGAAAUUCCAUCGGUGCAAGUGCAAGAUUCCAAUGCCAGUGCAAGAUUUCCAUGCCAGUGCAAGAUUCCAAUGCCAGUACCAGUGCAAAUGUCGAUGCCGAUGCCUAACAAACAAACAAAAAAUCCAACCAAAUAUUUUUUUUCUUCCUUCUUUCUUCCGUGCGAACCAACAUCACCAGCCUCCUUUUUUUUUUUUUCGCGAGGGUACGGUUGUGGACGGAUCCAGAUGCAGGGUGGGGCUGGGGAAUGCAGAAAUCCUAGUGCGAUGGAUUCACCAAAUUCCUUUUUUCAAAAAACAGAAUUUUUUUCCCUUUCUUGAAGACUACCAAGGACAAACUGAAAAUCAAACCAGAAAACGUAAAAAAUCUACGGACAAGACUAACACAAUUUGACGAUCAAUACCGAAAUCCAAAGACAAAGAACAUAAACAGAAAUCCAAAGACAAAACGAACAAAAACAGAGUGACCAAGAACAAAGGACACAGACCAAAGCGGAAGCGAAAGCCUAAACGAGACCCAAACUAAACCAAAAAACAAAAAGCGACAAAACAAAUUGAUACCAACAAGAACGGAUUGAACCAUAAGGAUCGAACCCGCUCUGAUACCAAGUUAAAUAUCAGAGUGCGCAACGAAUAAGACUAACAAAAUAAGAAUAUUAUUAAACAAACGAGAAUGCCAAAACGGCUACAAAACCCUAAGAGACUACAUUGUGAAUGACUUAUUCUCUAACUAAAUUACAAGCUCUAUUUAUAGAGCAAUAAACCAAAGAAACCCUAAUGCGUAUAUGCCAAAAAUACCCUACUACAAAAUCAAAUCAAAUCUCUAAUUAAUUUCCUAAAUAAACCUAAUAAAUUCCAACAGGGUGCAUUUUAGCAACAACUUGAAAUGGAGAAUUGGCCACGUCUCAGAGAUAGAAAAACGAAUAUUUCAUUUUCUAGUUUAAAUUGAGACAUACCAUUGCAUAUUGUUAAGAGUUUUAUAUAUAUACAUACAUACAUACAUAUAUAUAUAUAUAUCACUGUAAAGUUGAGAAAAAUUUGUAUACAUUCAGUUGUUGAUUACAUCCAAUGCAUAUAUUUGUAUACACCUCUUGAGCUUGAAAGUGUACUUAUGUAAGAUCAAGUCACAUGCAUAGGCAUGCAUGUGAUGGAAACCUAUUCUCUAGCAUUAACAAUGAAAAGAUUUUUAGUCUACCAAUCCUUUAGCUCAUAAAAUAUUUUAAUCUGCCAAUGCUUUAGCUCAUAAAUUUAUUGGUUUAGUUUCAUAAAUAAUGUGUACUUAUUGGUUCAGUUUCAUAAAUAGUGUAUAGGAAUUAAUACAUUUUCAUAAAUAGUGCCUAGUUCUUGAUCUAAUUUUAUAAACAGUGUACAUUAAUUGGUAGAGUUUCAUAAAUAGUAUCUCUUUAUUGGUCCAGUUCCAUAAAUAUAGUAUUCACCUAUUUGUUCGGUUUUAGAAAUAGUGCCUAAUUUUUUGUUUGGUUUAAUAAAUAGUGUAUACUUGUUGAUCUAGUUUCAUAAAUAGUGUUUACCUAUCGGUCCAGUUUCAUAAAUAUUGCCUAAUUCUUGGUUCAGUUUCAUAAGUAAUGCUUAGUUCUUGGUUCAGUUUCAUAAAUAGUGUUUCUUUCUUAGUCUAGUUUCAUAAAUAGUUUCCACCUAUUGGUUUUAUUUUAGAAAUAGUGUCCCAUUUUUUUAUGUGGUUUCAUAAAUAUUGUCUACUUAUUGGUCUAGUUUCAUAAUUAGUGUCUCCUUAUUGGUUUAGUUUCAUAAAUAGUACCUAGUUCUUGGUCCACUUUUAUUUAUGCCUAGUUCUUGGUCCACUUCAUAAAUAGUGGCUUAGUGCUUGGUCCAAUUUCAUAAAUAGUGUAUAGCAAUUGGUACAGUUUCAUAGAUAAUGUCUCUUUCUUGGUCUAGUUUCAUAAGUAGUAUCUCUUUCUUGGUCUAGUUUUAUAAAUAGUUUCCACUUAUUGGUUUAGUUUUAGAAAUAGUGUCAUUCUUGAUUUGGUUUCAUAAAUAGUUUUCACCUAUUGGUUUAGUUUUAGAAAUAGUGUCUCAUUCUUGAUUUGGUUUCAUAAAUAGUGUCUACUUGUUGGUCUAGUUUCAUAAAUAGUGUCUUCUUAUUUUAAGGAGGAUUAGAAUGACAUACUUUGAUAAAAACAAUAUACGAUCAAUAAUAGUACCAUUUGACAACUUGACAACAUAAGCGACAUCCUACUAGUAUACAUAUUGCCCAGAUUUUACUUAAUUCAUUCUUUUAAAUAUGGCUAAAAUAACAAAGACUUGUAACUCAGUUGAUUAAAAGCAUUCACAUUUACUCUCGGAAUCUCGAGUUCGUCCCUCAAUAUCUAUAGUAAAAAGAUAAGGUAAAAGUUAUAAUUCAUACAUGAUUGUGUUUACUAUUUGCUAUAAUUAUACAAGAGAUUUAUGUCUUUGUGAUUGUAAGGUGAUGUCAGCUCUGGCUCUCAGGAGAUUUUCCAAGGCAACGGAUUCUUUAGAUGACAAAAAACUUGAAGAGGUAACAUGGACUCCAUCCAUGUUAAUUUUCACAAACAGACCCUUUCUGUUGGUUUCGUUUACCAUUAGGAGCUUUGUUUUGGACAACAUUUUCAGAAGAGCUUUUGUUGCUUGCGAGAUUCUUCCUAAAUGAUUGAAUUUUAGGCCAACCCACAUCUGGAGCAGGAGCACUUCUG